UCUCGUUUUGCCUAUCGCGUUUUUCUAUACUGCCUCCCAGCAGACGUGAUUCCGCGAGAGUCAGGUGCGCGUAGUUUGGAGAUGCCGGAAAUGGAAUUAAAUCCGCCGUUUAUCGCCAUUUUGUUUAAUCGAGUGCAUCAUUCAUCAUCGUAUUUUUCUUACAUUUAGCUAGAUAUAUAUUCUCCUGACUUGAAUUGGGAAGGAGACUUUGGAGCUGUGACAUCUGGGGGUACACGUUAUUCGUCAACUAUCAGGUCAUCAUCGUGUGAAUUGUUAACACCAAGAAAACUAAAUUGCAUCAAAUGCAAAAAUUACAGUUAUGCACUUGCGAAAAGGAAAAAGCGCUUGGAUGAUAGAAUAAUUCAUCCUAGGAAAUUCAGCCAUUCCAGCUUUAAACACUCAGAUAUGACCCGGGAUGAAUUGUGCCUUAAACUAAAGGAGCAAAAAGGAGAAAUUAGUGACUUAACAAAUACUGUAUGGAAAUUAAAAAGACAAUAUGAGAAUUCGAUAAGGAAGGAGGGUGUUUCAGUUAAGGAGCAUGAAAGUUUGGAAUUAAGCUCGUGAAUGGAUUCCUGAAGUGAACAAUUUAAGCAUUGCUUCCCAGAUAGUAACAAACGCAGCAAAUGCCAAAAAUGUCCGUACGCAAAAACAACGUAAUGCAAAAAUUUUAUUACACUAGUGAAAUGUGAAAAAUAUGUAAUGACUUUAUGCGAGUCAAACAUGUGAUAAGUAGAAUUAUUAUGUUGUAAUCUGAUUUUAUAAUAUAUUAUGUAUAGAAUUACUAUGUUGUUCUCUAAAUGUUGAUUUUAUGUAUAUAGUAUUCUAUAUGUAGUUUGCAUUGCAUGUAGAAUAGUAUCUAUAGUUUAUAUGUGUCACGUUCUGAGAAAACUGUGCAUAAUACCUGUGCGUAAAGCGUUAUCCCAGAUUAGCAUGUGCAGUCCUCACAGGCUAAUCAGGGACGACACUGUACGCCUUGUUAAGAUUUUUGGUAAGAAGAGACUUUUUUAACAAAAAAUAACAUAAAAGCUGAAGUGUCGUCCCUGAUUAGCAUGUGCGGACUGCAAAGGCUAAUCUAGGAUGACACUUUACGCACAUGCAUUAAGCCCAGUUUUCUCAGAACAAGGCUCAUUUCUAUCUCGUACAAAUUUAUUACUGUUCAUACUCAUGAUAAUAUGAAAGAAAAUUAAAAUUAUGUUCUCCUGA